ensembl:lncRNA
ACUUUCGCUUGCUGCCGGGAGAGGAGUGGCUGUGCUUUCCAAGCCGGGUGCCUUCAUCAAUUAAUGCUUUGGGAGAACUCAGAAGCAUUCUGUGUAGUGUCAAAGCUGUGAGAGGAAUGUUAGCACUCAGUGGAAACACAGCAGAAACAUGGACAACCCAGAGAUGGAUGUCAUGACGUUGCAACAGUUAAACACUGAUCAGAAUGGUAUGCCAAUACCAAGUACACAGGUUUGUGCUGAAUGCCUACUUAUCAAGGAAAUCUGUUGGCAGAGAUAAGCUGCAAUAAACAGACCUUCAAAGGAAGGAAGCCCAUGAAUAAUGGCAUGUCAUCUGGCACAAGCCAAAAGUUAUGUACUCAGGAAUCACCUUAGCACGUUAAUCCAUUUUCAAGGAAAGCUGAACAGUCACCUACCUGCUCUGCCUCGAAGGCUGACCCACUUAAUUUUCUUCCUGGGUGGCAUCUCGCCGUUCUGCUUUGUCUUCCAGACUAAAGCUUUCAGUCUCUGGUCAUGUGAAUCUGCAUGAGAAUCUGCUGAUGCUUUCUACUACUUUUUAUGAUGCCUCAAAGUGCUUACCUAAAUUACAUUGUUGGAUACAGAUGAGUAUUCAUUUUUAAUCAUUCCCAGAUGUGAUAGUGGUAGUAAACAUCCUGCUUCUCUGCUUAGAGUAAUAAUUAUAGCAAUUUGUAUCUUGGGGAUAAUGAUUUAUUCUUGCUAUUACUGCAAGCACUGUUACCACUAAAAUUAUUCAUUAAUGUAUGUCGAUGGUUUUACAAACUUCCAGAAUAUCAAAUUAAACACAUCGAACAACUUGGUCAUUGCAAAUACUGUUCAAAGGUUUUGCUAUCUAACAAAGUAAGUGAAGAAAAAGUACUAUAAUGUUAAGAGUGUUCCUUCUUUAUCUCUGAAAUCAAAAGUCUAAAGAGACAGAUUUGAGUUUUCUAAUAAUCAGUAUUGUUGAGAAAUUGGAAUCUCCAUCCUAUAAAAUUUCUUGUAUUUAAUAGAAAUCAUUUAUUUUCUUUUAUUUUAUUUCUAAGUACAGAAGAACAUAGAAAAAAUAAGUAGGUUGCUCUGAAAGUAAUGCCUCAUUUAUUUCCAUGGAAACCAUAGCGUAUACAAAAAGCUCAAUAACACUAUUUUAUAGAUCAAAUUCUCAGCUACAAAACACAGUUUAUUAUUAUUAUUAUUAUUAUUAUUAUUAUUAUUAUUAUCUUUUUUUUUUUUUUUCCAAAAAUGGAUAGUUACCACAACUACCAUUUUUGGUAGCAAUGAACAAGAGCCUGCACACCAGGCUCACAAAAAAUUUGCACCCAUGGGGGUGACCCACUGUUACUGUUGCCACUGCUGAAACACACCACCCACCAUCUCACUGCAUUCAUAUCCACUAUUUGAUCUCCAGAAGCAUUCAGCAAGUGUCAAUGAAUGUCAGUGGGUGCCAUUUCUUCCACAUGGAGAAAUUCAGUGGCACACAUCUGCUUCAUAUGCACUUCCAUUUAAGAUGCCAUUUUGUCAAACUGCCCCUCUGCUGCCAUCUGUCACAUGGCAACAAAACACAACAGAAUAUUGUUGGGAAGGUUCAGCCUCUACUGCCAUACCACCAACACCUGCUGCAUUAUAUCAUGGGCUGACACAACAAAACAGGAGAUAUUACUUUUGGAUCAGCAUGCAUAGAUUAAAAAAAAAAAAAAAGUAAAAUGUACACAUUUAUUUUGUUUCAUAUUUUUCAAUGGUAUAAUCUUUUAUUAAAAAUAUUUAAAGAGAAAAUAAUUCUCCAUAAAUGUAAUACUCUCUUAAUCCGUAAAUUAAAUGCUCUUACUUGCUGUGUGUCACACGUCUUGUGCUUGCUGUUUUCUUAACUUUUUCAACUUAGAAUAAGACAAAGAGAACCUUGGUUUUUGACAUCAUAAAAAAAAGUGAAUUAUGUAUCUUUGUAUAUAUAUUAAUGUUCAAAUGUACCUUCAGGAUUGUUUCUUUGAAACAACUGUUCAAAUAAAUGAAAUAUUCAUAAGGUAAAUGAUCAUUAAAAGAAUAAAGUAUAUGGAAAGUUCAGGUCAGUUUUAAAGAACUGUAUUAAAAAAUAGUGCACUUUUAAGAUAGAAUUUAAAGUAAAAGAAAAAAAAAAAUCUUGAAGAGUGAAAAAAUUCAGCUUCACCUUGUGCUUAAAAUCCCUAACAACAGCACUUACAAUCUGUCACUUCAUCACUCAUGCUUGAAGUACUUUAUUGCUUAAUCAUGUGAUAGUCUCUGCCUAAACAAUAUAUGAGAGAAUGAAGAAAACUGUCUUCUUCAACUCUCACUAGAGUACUUCAUGUGAGAAACUAGGAGGUUUGGUCAAUAUGCUUUGGCUCUUCUACUGCUUCUAAACAUUCUGUAAAACUUGGUGCAAAAUUCAGAAAGUAGUAGUGAGAAAACUCUCCUCCACCAGGAUUUUUCUCAGCCCACUUUUAAACAUGAUCCAUAAUUUGAUCAAAUGCUCUUGGGCACUAUUAAAUAGUAAUAAUGAACUUCACCUAAAGCCCUUAGUAAUUUUGUUCCACAUUUCUUUCUCUAAUUAUCCACUAUUCCCUAUUUAUUAUUGCUUCAUUCCUUGCCUUGAGGCCUUCUAAAAAUACUAAGAAUGAUAAAUUAAACAAUACAUUUUGGCACUAAGUUAACCAGUGGGGAGAGUUGUAAUUUAAUGGGUUGUCUUCUGAAUUAAUUAUUUCUGAAUUAUUUAAUUGAAACUUCUAAACAAAAUUUCUUGACACUGAAAGCCAAAUAUUCCUAUAUUCUCUAGCAAAAGGAAAGCCAAAACAUUAGAAUCCCAUCUUUAAAUUAAAUUCACAAUGUGUGUCCAUGCAGCUCAAUAGAAGCUUUCUAUUUACAGUUAUACUUAAAUUUUUGCUAAUGAGAAGAGUCUCCUUUGAAGAGGUGUAACAAUUUUUUUUUUCUUUUUUCUUUUUUCAGGGUAACCACAGCACUGUAACUACCAGGCAAAUGACACUCCAGAGUUAAUGUUCACCUCUUUAUUUUUUUGAAUAAAUAUAGACAUUAGUUUCUAUCUGGCACCUCUACACUUUUCACACAAGAAAAAAAUAUAUAUAUAUAAAUAAAACUGUUUUUUCUUUUACUGUUAGAACUCUUUGUUUACACCCAGUUCUUUCCCACUUUUUUUUUUUUAAUUCAGUCGCUCUAUAAAUCCACUUGCUCCCAGUUUUUAAAGUAAAUAUUUUAAUUGUUUUGCAGAACAUGACAUUUAGAUUAAAUGCUAAAUAGAAGAUGGUAUUUAUGUCUAGCCAAGUUCAUAUGGAGCAACCCAUAUUGAAACUUUGCUGAGACAGAGUGUACAAGUCUGUCAGUGCAUACACUAGAUGUGUUUUUCUGUACUGAUACUGAAAAUCCUUACUAAAGAAAUAAUUAAACAUGCUAUGCAGCAUGUCACUUCACUGGGACCAACACAAGGGAGAGAAAAUCAAACUGUGUAAGCCUUUUAGUACAAAGCCCUACAUAUUGCAGAAAUGUGUUUUUUUGCUGAACAAAAGAAGAUCAUGUAAUUCCUGCACUUAAUAGACAUUUGUAAAUCUGAGUAUUACUCUCUGUCCUACUAAUUUAUAUCUCUGACUCAGAGUAGAUCUUUGAAUACCACUGUUUUCAUCAGUUUUGUGUGUGUGUGUGUGUGUUUGCUUGUUUAUUUGUUUGUUUUGUUUUUACUUCAGAACUUGUUAGUUUUCCUGUUAUCUUUGGUGAUCUGAUUAUGAGGUACCAGAACAAUAAUCCAUUAUUUACCAUCCUAAUAAAACUUGUGUGUCUCAUUUUAGUGCAAAUUCACUAGCUCCUAAAUAACCACAACAGACAAGAAUAUGUUCUAAGAAAACAUGCCCCGCUUUCACCAUUUAAGUGGAAAUUAAUGAAACUUUUGUUGACAUACUUUUUAACAUAUAUGAAGCAGGAUGGUCCCUUUGAAUUCAUCAUAGCAUUUUGUUUCUCUGAACUAUUCUAGAGUGUAUCUUCUGAUUUCAGGUUAAUUUUAAGACAUCCUUGAAUUAAAAAGGCAAAGUUUAUACAUUUUGUUUAAUACAGAACAGAGAAAACAAAAACAACACAAGAGGUGUGUGAAUACAUCAGCUAAAAUUUGGCAACUUUUCAUUUCAUUUCGUCCUUAUCACUUCCAGAUCUAUAUCUGCCCCCUUUAAUUUACCAGGAGACUUCCACCAAACAUAUCUAUGGUUUUUUAGCCACUAUCUCAUGGCUUCAAGCUGCGCCAGGAAGAUUCAGGCUGGACAUUAGGAAAUAGUACUUCUCUGAAAGGGUGGUCAGGCACUGGAAUGGGCUGCCCAGAGAGGUGGUGGAGUCACCAACCCUGGAGGUGUUCAAGGAACAUUUGGAUGUUGUGUUGAGGGACAUGGUUUAGCGAGAACCACUGGUGAUGGGCGAAUGGUUGGACUGGAUGAUCCUGUGGGUCUUUUCCAAACUUAGUGAUUCUAUGAUUCUAUGCUUCUAUGAUACUGGAGAAGAGGCAGAGAAAUCCACUUUUAUCACUUAAUAUUCCACAUUUUCAGCUGAAGACUAAGCUAUGAGUAAUGUUAUCUUUAGCAGCUACCUUCCUGGCCUAGGAAGAAGAUGGAAAUGCAGUGUUGUGAAUCAUAUUUGUUUGGAGAAGCCAAUCUUUGAGGCCAGGAAACAAUUUAAAGCAUCUGAAGCUGUAAUACUGUAAUGACUUUAUUGACUGUAUUGAUUAUUAUCUGAAGCAAGGUGAGAACCUUAGAUCAAGGGCUCUGCUUAGUGUUGGUCUGGCUAUUCUCCUACAGCCAAAUCUGAAUUUCAGUCUGAGUGCCUUAGAGGAAUUUUGGUUCAAGAAGGGUAAACAAAAACCACUAAAAACACCCAAUUUUUUUUGCUACUACUCAGUACUAAUUCACUACAUUUAAAAAUGUUGAUGAGUCUCAGGAUUAAGACAGAUAACAUGACAGAUAGAAGGGAUAUUUAUGGUAUCUAGAUUAACCAUUGCAUGCUCUCUGGAAAGACAGUGGUGAAGAAAGUCUUUCCCCAGUUUCUGAUUUUUAGAUCAUUGGAAAUUUAGCUAAGGACAGCUGUCUGUGGGAGAACAUUCCAGAGAGAAGAGCAGAAAAAGCAGUAAAAGGGACACAGUAAACUGAUCUUUCAGCAUACGAGUAUGCUUUCUUGCAUCUAGGGAUACCCAAGUCACAGCAGUGAUGAAAAGAAGAAAAUGAUCCAAAGCACCGAAAGACAACUGAGUGACUUUUCUAUUCACAAAUUGAUAGACUGAGAAGAAGGAAGGAAUGAAAGAUCUGUCUUGUGAAAUUGAAGAGAGUGCCUGAAAGCAUGAACAUAUUAAAAUACUUGUGAUAUCUAUUUGUUAUUGUGCAUUUAAGAGGGAAAUAAUCAUUUGCCCUCUUUUCUGACUUCAAGAUAACAAUUACACUGAAUAUUUGAAAAUAAACAACAACAGUAUUGCUGAUAUGACUCAGAUUUGGCCACCAGUGUGUCCCUCUUGGAUCUGUUUGUGCCUGUCAUGGUGGAAACUCCUGGUCUCUUUUCACAGAAGUCACUCCUGUAGACUCACUGCUACCAAAGCUUUGCCACAAAAAUCCAGUACAUACUUCAAGCUGUGAUAUCGCUCACCAGAGACAGGAGAUAUUGAUGAUAUCUGUCCCACACUUUGGCUACUACAACCCCAGGCAAUGCUACAGGUUUGGGCAGAGUGGUUGGAAAACAGUAUGGAAGAAAUGGACCUGGGUGUGUUGGACAACAGUUGGCUGAGCAUGAGCCAGCAGUGCGCCCAGUUCAUAGCUGAAAGCAGAGGAAUCUGUGCUGUGGUCAUCCAGAAACUGCUUACAUGCAUUACAACUAAUGUAUGGUCUACACACCCAGUGAAAACGUGGAACACCAGAAUAUAAACUCUGCUUAUAAGUGAAGAACACUACUUUCCAGCUGUUCUUGGUGUGUAAAGGGUGUGGUGGUCAUGGGGACACUGAAGGGUGGAAAGAGUGAAAACAGAAACAAAACAGAUCUGUAUCUAUAUCCUCACAAUAAAGAAUGCACCUCACUCUUGCAUUCAGAUCAUGGAUAAAAAUGUUGAGUAGAGAUGACUCUAGAGUUGAGCCUGGAGGAUCUGCACCAGUGACUGGCCACCAUCCAGAUGUAGCCGUAUUCACUACAGCACUUUGAGCUCUGUGAUCAAGCUGAAUAGUCCCAUGUCUCCCAGCCUUUCCUCAUAUGGAAGAUAUUUCAGGCCUCUAAAAAAACUAAGGUAAGGAAAGAAUGGCUUUUGAGAUGGAAAAACAACAACAAAAAGAAAAGGAAAAGGAAAAGAAAAAGGAAAAGGAAAAGAAAAAGAAAAAGAAAAAGAAAAAGAAAAA